AACCAUUAUCGGUCCUCACAAUACGGUGCAUGAGGGUCGAAUUUAUUAGUUGAAGCUAUUUUGUGAAAAAGGUAAUGGC